rnacentral:tRNA from 1 species
GCCUGGAUGGCUCAGUUGGUUGAGCGUCUGAUUUCGGCUCAGGUCACGAUCCCACAGUUUGGGAGUUUGAGCCCUUCAUCAGGCU